UGUGUGACAUGCACUUUGGUUGUGUACCAAAUAUGUUAAGUUUUAAUUAUUUGGACCUAAUUAGAACUAAGUUUUUCUUUGUUUUUGGGUGGUAGCCCAACCUGGACCCCACACACACACACACCACUCCCAUUGACCCCUUUUUUCUCUUUUCCCUCUCGGAUUUCAUCCAUUUUCCGUAUAAUCGUACGAACAGCUUCCAAACCAACACUUCCAGUCAUGGAUCGAGGUUGUAGUUGGUGUAUUUGGACUCCUAGGAAGCUCAAGAGUUAUUUUAUACCUUUGGUUGGACGUGAAAACUUCGAAAGCUCGGGAACCAGGAAACCCCUGAAGAUGUGCACAAUAGCUUAGUCGUGAUUGCGAAGAUUUCAUUGAGUUUUAAGGUCCUAGGGAGCCAUAGAACUUGUUGACGAAGCUUAAGGAAGGAUUUUGAAGUGUUUUGGACGUUAGGAAACUCGUGUUUGACUAGUUGCAGGGUUUGGCCGGUUUCCUCGAAUUUUUCAAACGAGAUUCUGUUGGUUUUAGGACCUUAAAGUGUUUCCGGCGACGGCGACGGAGACGGAAUCUGACGACUCACUGGAAAAGAAGGCGAAGUUGACAGAAUAUUCCUAACGGCGUCAGGUGAGACCUAUCCAGAGGACGAGCAUAAUCAAGUGAGACUCGGGGGCUACGACCCUUCCACAUAUCAGUUUUAGGUAUGAGUGUUUGUCGGUGGCUUACGAGGAUUUGAUGGAGGUUUUGACAGAUUAUCACCAAUGUAGGAUCACCUUUGGGUGUUGUAUAAUUAGUAUUCAUCAUGUUGGACUGCACUUAGUCUACUUAUGCUCUGAUUGUGCAAUCACACUUAAUAUCGCACUUGCACCUUAUCUUAUCUAGUGCUCUAGUUGGUUUGAUUUUUUGUUUAUUCGCAUUUCUUAUAUUAAUAUUGCUUCCGCACUGUGCACAUGGCUACGUCACCCUCACGUGACGCUCAGCAUGCCCCGAUCUAUGUCGGGGGUGUGUUAUUAAAUUCAUCACCUCGUUUGUUCAAAAAAUAAAUAAAAUUGAAAGGUUAUGUA